rnacentral:tRNA from 1 species
GGAGGAUUAGCUCAGCUGGGAGAGCAUCUGCCUUACAAGCAGAGGGUCGGCGGUUCGAGCCCGUCAUCCUCCACCAUA